AAAUUGAAGAGUUUGAUCAUGGCUCAGAUUGAACGCUGGCGGCAGGCCUAACACAUGCAAGUCGAACGGUAACAGGAAGAAGCUUGCUUCUUUGCUGACGAGUGGCGGACGGGUGAGUAAUGUCUGGGAAACUGCCUGAUGGAGGGGGAUAACUACUGGAAACGGUAGCUAAUACCGCAUAACGUCGCAAGACCAAAGAGGGGGACCUUCGGGCCUCUUGCCAUCGGAUGUGCCCAGAUGGGAUUAGCUAGUAGGUGGGGUAACGGCUCACCUAGGCGACGAUCCCUAGCUGGUCUGAGAGGAUGACCAGCCACACUGGAACUGAGACACGGUCCAGACUCCUACGGGAGGCAGCAGUGGGGAAUAUUGCACAAUGGGCGCAAGCCUGAUGCAGCCAUGCCGCGUGUAUGAAGAAGGCCUUCGGGUUGUAAAGUACUUUCAGCGGGG
rnacentral:rRNA from 1 species